CCCCCGUUUUCCUUUUGCCUGAUUCCAGGCUGAGGUAGUAGUUUGUACAGUUUGAGGGUCUAUGAUACCACCCGGUACAGGAGAUAACUGUACAGGCCACUGCCUUGCCAGGAACAGUGCACCAGCUACCAAGUGGGG
rnacentral:pre_miRNA from 15 species